GACGAACGCUGGCGGCGUGCCUAACACAUGCAAGUCGAGCGGAGAUGUACUGAAGAUUUAUCGGAUGUACAUCUUAGCGGCGGACGGGUGAGUAACGCGUGGGCAACCUGCCUUCCACUGGGGGAUAACACAGGGAAACCUGUGCUAAUACCGCAUGACAUCACAUAGGGCAUCCUGUGUGAUCAAAGGAGUGAUCCGGUGGAAGAUGGGCCCGCGUCCGAUUAGCUAGUUGGUGAGGUAACGGCUCACCAAGGCGACGAUCGGUAGCCGGACUGAGAGGUUGGCCGGCCACAUUGGGACUGAGACACGGCCCAGACUCCUACGGGAGGCGGCAGUGGGGAAUAUUGCACAAUGGGCGAAAGCCUGAUGCAGCGACGCCGCGUGAGGGAUGACGGCCUUCGGGUUGUAAACCUCUUUCAGCAGGGAAGAAGCGAAAGUGACGGUACCUGCAGAAGAAGCACCGGCUAACUACGUG
rnacentral:rRNA from 1 species